rnacentral:rRNA from 1 species
UACAGAGGGUGCAAGCGUUAAUCGGAAUUACUGGGCGUAAAGCGUGCGUAGACGGUUAUUUAAGUCAGGUGUGAAAGCCCCGGGCUCAACCUGGGAAUUGCAUUUGAGACUGAAUAGCUAGGGUGCGGAAGAGGGAAGCGGAAUUUCCGGUGUAGCGGUGAAAUGCGUAGAUAUCGGAAGGAACACCAGUGGCGAAAGCAGCUUCCUGGUCCAGCACCGACGUUCAGGCACGAAAGCGUGGGGAGCAAACAGG